AUCAGUGUUAAAAAGAAUAGUAUUAUUAUUACUAUUAUUAUUUUGAUAAUUAUAAACAGGG
rnacentral:antisense_RNA from 1 species